rnacentral:ncRNA from 1 species
GCCUGGCGCCGCAUCACCUGAUCACUGAUGGCUCAACGGUAUCUGGCGGUACAACUCAAUAUUACAGCUGCCUUUUGAGCGGGUUAGCUGCAAUCCGAAACGGAGAGCUCCGUUUGGACUGCGGUUAGGUUUUUACACCCAUUUUGUGGCAGC